UAGGGAAUUUUUCACAAUGAGCGAAAGCUUGAUGGAGCAAUGCCGCGUGAACGAUGAAGGUCUUUAAGAUUGUAAAGUUCUUUUAUUUGGGAAGAAUGACUUUAGCAGGUAAUGGCUAGAGUUUGACUGUACCAUUUUGAAUAAGUGACGACUAACUAUGUGCCAGCAGUCGCGGUAAUACAUAGGUCGCAAGCGUUAUCCGGAUUUACUGGGCGUAAAGCAAGCGCAGGCGGAUUGAAAAGUCUGGUGUUAAAGGCAGCUGCUUAACAGUUGUAUGCAUUGGAAACUAUUAAUCUAGAGUGUGGUAGGGAGUUUUGGAAUUUCAUGUGGAGCGGUGAAAUGCGUAGAUAUAUGAAGGAACACCAGUGGCGAAGGCGAAAACUUAGGCCAUUACUGACGCUUAGGCUUGAAAGUGUGGGGAGCAAAUAGGAUUAGAUACCCUAGUAGUCCACACCGUAAACGAUAGAUACUAGCUGUCGGGGCGAUCCCCUCGGUAGUGAAGUUAACACAUUAAGUAUCUCGCCUGGGUAGUACAUUCGCAAGAAUG
rnacentral:rRNA from 1 species